rnacentral:rRNA from 1 species
CCUACGGGUGGCUGCAGUGGGGAAUAUUGGACAAUGGGGGCAACUCUGAACCAGCGAUGCCGCGUGCGUGAAGACGUAUCUCGGUAUGUAAAGCUCCAUCUGCAGGGGAGAAAAUGACGGUACCUGUCUAUGUAGCCCCGUCUAAUUAGGGUCCAGCUGCAGCGGCAACACGUAGGCUGCCAGCGUUAUCCGGAUUUACCGGGUGUAAAGGGAGCGUAGACGGUGCAGCAAGUCAGAGGUGAAAGGUCGGGGCCCAACCCCGGGAUUGCAUUGGAAACUGUUGAACUGGAGUACAGGAGAGGUAGGCGGAAUGCCUGGUGUAGCGGUGAAAUGCGUAGAUAUUAGAAGGAACACCGAUGGCGAAGGCAGCUUACUGGACUGUAACUGACGUUGAGGCUCGAAAGCGUGGGGAGCAAACAGGAUUAGAUACCCUAGUAGUC